rnacentral:rRNA from 1 species
CCUACGGGGGGCUGCAGUGAGGAAUAUUGGUCAAUGGGCGUAAGCCUGAACCAGCCAAGUCGCGUGAGGGAUGAAGGCUCUAUGGAUCGUAAACCUCUUUUAUAAGGGAAUAAAGUGCGGGACGUGUCCCGUUUUGUAUGUACCCUAUGAAUAAGGAUCGGCUAACUCCGUGCCAGCAGCCGCGUUAAUACGGAGGAUCCGAGCGUUAUCCGGAUUUCUUGGGUUUAAAGGGGGGGUAGGAGGCCUGUUAAGCAAGGGGGGAAAGUUGGUGGCUCAACCCUAGAAUUGCCAUUGAAACUGGCGGGCUUGAGUACAUUUGAGGUAGGCGGAAUGCGUGGUGUAGCGGUGAAAUGCUUAGAUAUCACGCAGAACCCCGAUUGCGAAGGCAGCCUGCCAGGCCAUGACUGACGCUGAUGCACGAAAGCGUGGGGAUCAAACAGGAUUAGAUACCCUAGUAGUC